AUUGAACGCUAGCGGCAUGCCUUACACAUGCAAGUCGAACAACAGCACGGGGGCAACCCUGGUGGCGAGUGGCGAACGGAUGAGCAAUACAUCGGAACGUGUCAUGUUGUGGGGGAUAACCCACCGAAAGGUGAGCUAAUACCGCAUGAUCUGAAGACAGCAAAGCAGGGGAUCGCAAGACCUUGCCGGAUUGGAGAGUCCGAUGUCCGAUUAGCUAGUUGGCGGGGUAAAGGCCCACCAAGGCGACGAUCGGUAGCUGGUCUGAGAGGAUGAUCAGCCACACUGGGACUGAGACACGGCCCAGACUCCUACGGGAGGCAGCAGUGGGGAAUUUUGGACAAUGGGGGCAACCCUGAUCCAGCCAUGCCGCGUGAGUGAAGAAGGCCUUCGGGUUGUAAAGCUCUUUCGGUGGGAACGAAACGGUUACGACGAAUACUCGUGACUACUGACGGUACUCACAGAAGAAGCACCGGCUAACUACGUGCCAGCCGCCGCAGUAAUAC
rnacentral:rRNA from 1 species